rnacentral:misc_RNA from 2 species
CACCACUCAAGCCUCGCUUGGUAUUGGGCGAUGCGGUCCGCCGCACGCCUCAAAUCGACCGGCUGGGUCGAUCGCACCCUCAGCGUUGUGGAAACUAUUCGCUAAAGGGAUCGUGGUCGUUCACGCCGUGAAACAAACCAAUUUUCAAU